AAAGGAGUGAAAUUACAUGUGAAAGUACAACUAAAGGACGCAGCAAAAGUGUCAGCUAUAAACUGAGAAGAUACUGCUACAAGCCUACAAACACUGAACAAAACUAGUUGACACUAUUUACAAGUGGCCAAACAAUACGAAUACUUGAACUCCACUUUGGGUUGUGCAUAUUGGGGAUGAGGAAGAUGAUGACGAGGAGGAGGUUGAAGAUAGGGCACAGCAAGCAAGCAGAGAAACCGUUUUCCCCGAGAGCCAGGAACUGUUUCUCACCCUGGACCUGGAGCCAGUACCCUCCAAACCCACCCAAGGCGAGCUCCCAGACCCACCAGGCGGAGAAGGGACCUCUGCUGCAAAUGUUUCAACGCUCACACUAUCAUCUCCUUCCCAGAAGGUAGUGAAGAUUAGAAGGUGAAAAAAAAGCACUCGCGAUGAAAUGUUCUCUGAGCUCAUGCAGUCCUCCCACACUGAAAGAGCCCAGCAGAAUGCGUGGAGGCAGACAAUGUUAGAGGCCAGGAAUGCACAAUAUGAAUGCGAGAACAGGUGGCGUGUUGAAGAUAAUAAGUGGCGGGCUGAAGAUGGUAGGUGGCAUCAGCUUGCUGACAGAAGGCAAGAGUCAAUGCUGAAGCUACUGGAGGAUCAAACAGAUAUGCUCCAGCAUAUGGUUGAGGCGCAGGAAAGGCAGCAUGAACACAGACCACCACUACAGCCCCUGUGUAACCAACCGCCUUCCUCCCCAAGUUCCAUAGCCUCCUCACUCAGACGCCCAAGAACACGGUGUGGGGGCCUCCAAGCACCCAGCCACUCCACCCCAGAGGACUGCCUAAGCAACAGAAGGCUGGCAUUCAAUAAGUUUUAAAGUGCAGCAUGGCCUUGUCCUUCCCUCCUCCCUCACCCCUCCCGGGCUACCUUGG